UGAUAAUAAUAAGAAUAACAAGUUUAUUAAGGCUUAGGAUGAUAUUAAACUUAAAUAUUAUUUUUUCCUCUCUUUAUUUAAUUGUAAAAGUAAAAAUAGUAUACGUAGAUAUACUACAUGUUGAAGAAAUAUAGGACAAGUACUAUUCUGUACCAUCGCUAAUUGUGGUUUGGAGCUUCGGUUAAGCGGGGUGGGGGAGGAACUAUGUAGGUAUUUAAAAGAUACACACGGACCAAUUUAAGUGACGCACCAAACAUGGAUGGGGUAGAGUUGCCGUCCAAACUCAGCACUGGUAAAAGUUUUUCAGGUCUCCGUUAACCAGAGAAACAAAGGUGUAAUUUGGGUGUUUAGUAGACGGAUGUCACAUAGAUACGAUGCUAAUAUAAGAUGGGGAUUUUCAUUCAGGACGACAUGAUAUUCUCCCUCAUGUGCUACACAGACAGUGAUGAUGAAGAGUGUUGUCAGGAAGACUCUACAAACAUUCCUAUGAAAUUUGGUAAUAGCACCACCUUCUUCAUUUGAGCUGCCAUCAUUUUCUGCUGAUAAGCCAGAAUCUUAGAUCACACGCUUUUACUUCUGCUUCUCCUAGAUGUGUUUGAAGACUUUAUCUCCCUCACCAUUGGGGCUUAAUUUUU